AUUGAAUCUUAAAUCAUGACGUCGAUUCGGAGCAGAACUAAAUUGGCGAUGCACCCGUUGGCAUCUAUAUUAUCUAAAGAGUUACGUACAAUUAUAGAUGAAUACAUGUAUUUUUCAGCCAUUUUAUUGAUGGAUUCGUUUAACCGCUUAACCAGAUUCCAGACUCUGCUGUGUGUAUUGUUAAACAAGGAAUGAAACAAUAUGGCGUAUCCAUCAGGUCGACAUCAAAAGCACCUGCAGAUAAAUUUGGCUGUGCAGUGGGAAGUCUUCAUUAUAUCAUAAUUAACCAGGUGUUGAAAAAAUACAGCUAUAACUGAAGAAAACGUAACGUGUUUCUUUGUUGGCACAUUUGAGUUGUGCUUGUAUAAUUAGAUAGUGACCAUACUAAGCAAUACAAUAUGACAUUACAUACGUGAUGUCACGCAGGCAGACUUGUUAAUCGAGAAGUGCUAUUAUGAUCACGUCAAAACAGCUGUUUCACAACAAUUUAACAGAGCCUGCGUAAAAUCACUUAUUCAGGUAUCUUAUAAAUUAACUGAAAAUACACAAGAACAUAAACAUCGCAAUCGUAUACUGUGGAUGUUUACAUCAACGUGGCAUGAAUGGCCAUUGUGAAAUAGGGAAGCUACCAUUGUGAAAUAUAGAAGCUACCAUUGUGAAAUAUAGAAGCUACCAUUGUGAAAUAGGGAAGCUACCAUUGUGAAAUAUAGAAGCUACCAUUGUGAAAUAGGGAAGCUACCAUUGUGAAAUAGGGAAGCUACCAUUGUGAAAUAUAGAAGCUACCAUUGUGAAAUAGGGAAGCUACCAUUGUGAAAUAGGGAAGCUACCAUUGUGAAAUAGAGAAGCUACCAUUGUGAAAGAGGGAAGCUACCAUUGUGAAAUAGGGAAGCUACCAUUGUGAAAUAGGGAAGCUACCAUUGUGAAAUAGAGAAGCUACCAUUGUGAAAUAGGGAAGCUACCAUUGUGAAAUAGAGAAGCUACCAUUGUGAAAUAGGGAAGCUACCAUUGUGAAAUAGAGAAGCUACCAUUGUGAAAUAGAGAAGCUACCAUUAUGAAAUAGGGAAGCUACCAUUGUGAAAUAGAGAAGCUACCAUUGUGAAAUAGGGAAGCUACCAUUGUGAAAUAGGGAAGCUAAUUGCGCUAUGUGAAUAUUUCCUUUGCAAUUGUCGCAACACAAGACAAGUUAUCUUAAUGUGGUAAUAAUGCUAAGCUAUAGAUUAUUGAUAGCACUUUUAGUUGCUAUAUACUAUACCCAUUAUAAAUUAUAUUGAUGAUUUCGUUUGGCCAUGCAACUUGCAAACAUCAAGUGUGGCACUCCUGGUCAUUUCAGAACAAAACUCAACACCAUUCAAGUUCCCAAAGUUUAAUAAAAAUACAUACAUAUACAAACAUUAAUAAGUAAAGAACAAAGAGAUGAAGAAGUUGCAAGCUUAAUUAUGCGUGUCCAUCCUAAAAAACAACAAGAUGCAGCGACAGAUACAUUGCUUGCUAACGGUCUACUUAACAACUUACUUUCGUCUUUUGUUAUACAGUACAGUACGACAAUUUUAUGAUAAACACUGGGAGAGAAGGCUAGAAAAUGUCUGAUUUUCAGACUCAAUUUAUUUUUCAUUUCAUUGGCUCCGGAAUAUUUAUAAACAAUGACAUUGAACCAGCCCGUUC